rnacentral:lncRNA from 1 species
AUAAAAAAAAAAAAUAAGCGAGUGGGGAAGAGCCAGCCCCACGCCGGUCCGCCUCCUGCCCGCGGCCCGGCCUCCCGCCCGCUCGCCGCCUGGCUCGGCGCUCCUUCGCCCCGAGUUCUCCAUCCCCUGGAUCGCGGGCUCGCGGGGGCGCGGAGAAGAGGACCGAGGAAAGGACGCUCCAGAAGCUGCUGGAUCUUUCAGGAAAUGGUGGUUAACAGAGCUGGACACAGGGAUAGAGCAGAGUCCCUGCCCUCAAGAAGACUACAGACUGGCCAGGGAGACAGGUGUGCACACAGUGGAGAAGGCUUCACGGGGACUCCUGAGGACGACAGCUGGUACGUUCACCCUACAUCAUGACAGUUUCCUAUGCACGGGCUUCUGGGAAGUCUCUGCGGUGCUCCAGUGAGGGAACGGCGUCUCCUCCAUUCCAGGCUGAAUCAGAGAAGUGCCAAAGAGAGGUGCAAGCUGGCUGCUGGUGAGAGGGGAGAGGGUUGGGGGGGCUGGGGAAGGCAUCACCCACGUGGCCUGCACCACGGAGCUGUGCCACGAUGACCCAGGAGAUGGGAAGAAAGUUAGAUGAGAGGAGGCAGGGU